rnacentral:rRNA from 1 species
UACGGGGGGGGCAAGCGUUGUUCGGAAUUACUGGGCGUAAAGGGCUCGUAGGUGGCCAACUAAGUCACACGUGAAAUCCCUCGGCUUAACCUGGGAACUGCAUCCGAUACUGGAUGGCUUGAAUCCGGGAGAGGGAUGCAGAAUUCCAGGUGUAGCGGUGAAAUGCGUAGAUAUCUGGAGGAAUACCGGUGGCGAAGGCGGCAUCCUGGACCGGCAUUGACGCUGAUGAGCGAAAGCUAGGGGAGCAAACGGG